rnacentral:rRNA from 1 species
GGGUCAGGAGGUUGGUCGUCCCACCGGUACGUACUGGUCUCACUGAUUCCUCCUUCCUGAAGAACCGUAAUGCCAUUAAUUUGGUGUUGCGGGGAAACAGGACUGUCACUUUGCAAAAAUUAGAGUGUUUAAAGCAAGCUAACGCUUGAAUACAUUAGCAUGGAAUAAUGAAAUAGGACGAUCGAUCCUAUUUUGUUGGUUUCUAGGAUUGACGUA